UACGUAGGGUGCGAGCGUUGUCCGGAAUUACUGGGCGUAAAGAGCUCGUAGGUGGUUUGUCGCGUUGUUCGUGAAAACUCACAGCUCAACUGUGGGCGUGCGGGCGAUACGGGCAGACUGGAGUACUGCAGGGGAGACUGGAAUUCCUGGUGUAGCGGUGGAAUGCGCAGAUAUCAGGAAGAACACCCGUGGCGAAGGCGGCUCUCUGGAACGCAACUGACGCUGAGACGCGAAAGCGUGGGGAGCAAACAGG
rnacentral:rRNA from 1 species